rnacentral:tRNA from 3 species
GGGCGAUUAGCUCAGCUGGCUAGAGCGCCUGCUUGACAUGCAGGAGGUCACUAGUUCAAGUCUAGUAUCGCCCACCA